UGGCGGACGGGUGAGUAAUGUCUGGGAAACUGCCCGAUGGAGGGGGAUAACUACUGGAAACGGUAGCUAAUACCGCAUAACGUCGCAAGACCAAAGAGGGGGACCUUCGGGCCUCUUGCCAUCGGAUGUGCCCAGAUGGGAUUAGCUAGUAGGUGGGGUAACGGCUCACCUAGGCGACAUCCCUAGCUGGUCUGAGAGGAUGACCAGCCACACUGGAACUGAGACACGGUCCAG
rnacentral:rRNA from 1 species